rnacentral:rRNA from 1 species
CGGCCGCGUCGACAUCAGUCACACUGGAACUGAGACACGGUCCAGACUCCUACGGGAGGCAGCAGUGGGAAUAUUGGACAAUGGGCGAAAGCCUGAUCCAGCCAUGCCGCGUGUGUGAAGAAGGUCUUCGGAUUGUAAAGCACUUUAAGUUGGGAGGAAGGGCAGUAAGUUAAUACCUUGCUGUUUUGACGUUACCAACAGAAUAAGCACCGGCUAACUUCGUGCCAGCAGCCGCGGUAAUACGUAGGGUGCGAGCGUUGUCCGGAUUUAUUGGGCGUAAAGGGCUCGUAGGUGGUUGAUCGCGUCGGAAGUGAAAUCUUGGGGCUUAACCCUGAGCGUGCUUUCGAUACGGGUUGACUUGAGGAAGGUAGGG